ACAGUCAUGUGUAACAUUAAUUAUAUUGACAGACUUUCUCUUAGUAAAAAAAAAAACAGUAAAUCAAUAAUAAAAUAAAAAAUAAGGAGAAGAUAAGAAAAAAGAGUAGCUAAGAUAUUUGGGUUACUAUUUCAAAAAUACAAAAUACUAAAAAAGCUUUUACAAUACAUUAAAAUUAAAUAGCAGUAAAAUAAAAUUUGUAUUAUUUGAAAAAUAAUUUUAACAGUUGAUGAAGAGGAAACAUAUUCAUAAAUAUAUUAGUCGACUAGUCCAAUGUUGAAGGAGUUUGAUCAAAACUCUAGGGGUUACACUAGUUUUCUUAUUCCCUCUUUAUAAAGAAUUAAAAGUGGACGGAUUGGAGUAAACAAUCUUUAGAAUAAUGGGCGUGGGACAAAGAUGUAGAUUCUCUUAUGCUUCUUAAUAUUAUAAAAU
rnacentral:lncRNA from 1 species